rnacentral:rRNA from 1 species
GAGGAAUAUUGGGCAAUGCCCGCAAGGGUGACCCAGCAACGCCGCGUGGAGGAUGAAUGUCGUAAGAUUGUAAACUCCUGUUAGAGGGGAAGAAUAGUACCGGUUUGACCGGGAUAUGACUGUACCCUCAGAGAAAGCCCCGGCUAACUACGUGCCAGCAGCCGCGGUAAUACCUAGGGGGCAAGCGUUGUCCGGAUUUACUGGGUGUAAAGGGCGCGCAGGCGGGAUAAAAAGUCAGUGGUGAAAUCCUACAGCUUAGCUGUAGAACUGCCUUUGAUACUUUUAUUCUUGAGUUCGGGAGAGAGAGACGGAAUUCCAGGUGUAGUGGUGAAAUACGUAGAUAUCUGGAAGAACACCAGUUGCGAAGGCGGUCUCUUGGUCCGACACUGACGCUGAGGCGCGAAAGCGUGGGGAGCAAACA